rnacentral:rRNA from 1 species
AAGUCGAGCGAACGGACGAGAAGCUUGCUUCUCUGAUGUUAGCGGCGGACGGGUGAGUAACACGUGGAUAACCUACCUAUAAGACUGGGAUAACUUCGGGAAACCGGAGCUAAUACCGGAUAAUAUUUUGAACCGCAUGGUUCAAAAGUGAAAGACGGUCUUGCUGUCACUUAUAGAUGGAUCCGCGCUGCAUUAGCUAGUUGGUAAGGUAACGGCUUACCAAGGCAACGAUGCAUAGCCGACCUGAGAGGGUGAUCGGCCACACUGGAACUGAGACACGGUCCAGACUCCUACGGGAGGCAGCAGUAGGGAAWCUUCCGCAAGGGCGAAGCCUGAAGAGAAMCGCCGCGUGAGUGAUGAAGACUUCCGAUCGAUCACUCURUUCUAUUAUAAAAGAARAACAUAUGUGUGUGUAACUGUGCACAUCUYGACGGUACCUAMUCRGAAAGCCACGGCUAACUACGUGCCAGCAGCCGCGGUAAUACKUAKGUGGMAWGCGUUAUCCGGAAUUAUUGGGCGUAWAGCGCGCGUAGGCGGUUUUUUAWGUCUGAUGUGAAAGCCCACGGCUCACCGUGGAGGGUCAUUGGAAACUGGAAAACUUGAGUGCAGAA